AAUGACGGUACCUGACUAAGAAGCCCCGGCUAACUACGUGCCAGCAGCCGCGGUAAUACGUAGGGGGCAAGCGUUAUCCGGAUUUACUGGGUGUAAAGGGAGCGUAGACGGCAAGGCAAGUCUGAUGUGAAAACCCAGGGCUUAACCCUGGGACUGCAUUGGAAACUGUCUGGCUCGAGUGCCGGAGAGGUAAGCGGAAUUCCUAGUGUAGCGGUGAAAUGCGUAGAUAUUAGGAGGAACACCAGUGGCGAAGGCGGCUUGCUGGACGAUGACUGACGUUGAGGCUCGAAAGCGUGGGGAGCAAACAGGAUUAGAUACCCUGGUAGUCCACGCCGUAAACGAUGAUUACUAGGUGUGGGGGGACUGACCCCUUCCGUGCCGCAGCAAACGCAAUAAGUAAUCCACCUGGGGAGUACGACCGCAAGGUUGAAACUCAAAGGAAUUGACGGGGGCCCGCACAAGCAGUGGAGUAUGUGGUUUAAUUCGACGCAACGCGAAGAACCUUACCAAGUCUUGACAUCCCUUGACGAUGCUGGAAACAGUAUUUCUCUUCGGAGCAAGGAGACAGGUGGUGCAUGGUUGUCGUCAGCUCGUGUCGUGAGAUGUUGGGUUAAGUCCCGCAACGAGCGCAACCCUUACUGUUAGUUGCUACGCAAGAGCACUCUAGCAGGACUGCCGUUGACAAAACGGAGGAAGGUGGGGAUGACGUCAAAUCAUCAUGCCCCUUAUGACCUGGGCCUCACACGUACUACAAUGGCUGUCAACAGAGGGAAGCAAAGCCGCGAGGUGGAGCGAACCCCUAAAAGCAGUCUUAGUUCGGAUUGUAGGCUGCAACCCGCCUACAUGAAGUCGGAAUUGCUAGUAAUCGCAGAUCAGCAUGCUGCGGUGAAUACGUUCCCGGGCCUUGUACACACCGCCCGUCACGCCAUGGGAGUCGGUAACACCCGAAGCCUGUAGUCUAACCGCAAGGAGGACGCAGUCGAAGGUGGGAUUGAUGACUGGGGUGAAGUCGUAACAAGGUAGCCGUAUCGGAAGGUGCGGCUG
rnacentral:rRNA from 1 species